UACGGGGGGGGCAAGCGUUGUUCGGAAUUACUGGGCGUAAAGGGCUCGUAGGCGGCCAACUAAGUCAGACGUGAAAUCCCCAGGCUCAACCUAGGAACUGCGUCUGAUACUGGAUGGCUUGAAUCCGGGAGAGGGAUGCAGAAUUCCAGGUGUAGCGGUGGAAUGCGUAGAUAUCUGGAGGAAUACCGGUGGCGAAGGCGGCAUCCUGGACCGGCAUUGACGCUGAGGAGCGAAAGCCAGGGGAGCAAACGGG
rnacentral:rRNA from 1 species